CCCCCCCCCCCCCCCCCCCCCCCCCCCCCCCCCCCCCCCCCCCCCCCCCCCCCCCCCCCCCCCCCCCCCCCCCCCCCCCCCCCCCCGGUGUGGGCGGCCGGCCCGAGGUCAUCCUGGAGGGCAGCUACGACGGGCACAGCUGGACGGUGAGUCCGGGCUGGGCACGGGUGGGCACGGCUGGGCGGUGAGUCUGGGCUGGGCACGGGUGGGCGGUGAGUCGGGGCUGGGCACUGAGGGAUGACCUCCCCCCCCCCCCCCCCCCCCCCCCCCCCCCCCCCCCCCCCCCCCCCCCCCCCCCAGCUGGACGGUGAGUCGGGGCUGGGCACAGGUGGGCAUGGCUGGACAGCGAGUCUGGGGUGGGCACAGCUGGGCGGUGAGUCCGGGCUGGGCACGGCUGGACACAGCUGGGCACAGCUGGACGGUGAGUCGGGGCUGGGCACUGAGGGAUGGGCACAGCUGGGCACAGCUGGGCUGUGAGUCUGGGCUGGGCACGGCUGGGCUGUGAGUCUGGGCUGGGCACGGCUGGGCUGUGAGUCUGGGCUGAGCACAGCUGGGCGGUGAGUCGGGGCUGGGCACUGAGGGAUGGGCACAGCUGGGCGCAGGAAUCUGGUGUCCUGCCCCAGAAUCCCGGGAUUUCGGGCGGGAACAUCCUUUUCCUGGCACUCUGAUCCCCCUGGGCAGGAGCAGGCCCAGGUGGGAUUGGGUUCUGGAGGUGUCCCUGCCCCAGAAUGCCACAGUUUUGGCUGGGAAGGGACUUCCCACCCCUGCGGUGUCACACGCAGCAUUUCCCAGGGUUCAUCCCCCCUUGCACCCCAGGGACAGCCCUGGGCUGAGCCAGGGCCCCAUUUCCCCCCCAGCCAUUCCCAGUCCCAUCCUGUACAAACACCAUGGGCUGUGCUGGGGUCCCCAUUUCCCCCCCAGCCAUUCCCAGUCCCAUCCUGUACAAACACCAUGGGCUGUGCUGGGGUCCCCAUUUCCCCCCCAGCCAUUCCCAGUCCCAUCCUGUACAAACACCAUGGGCUGUGCUGGGGUCCCCAUUUCCCCCCCAGCCAUUCCCAGUCCCAUCCUGUACAAACACCAUGGGCUGUGCUGGGGUCCCCAUUUCCCCCCCAGCCAUUCCCAGUCCCAUCCUGUACAAACACCAUGGGCUGUGCUGGGGUCCCCAUUUCCCCCCCAGCCAUUCCCAGUCCCAUCCUGUACAAACACCAUGGGCUGUGCUGGGGUCCCCAUUUCCCCCCCAGCCAUUCCCAGUCCCAUCCUGUACAAACACCAUGGGCUGUGCUGGGGUCCCCAUUUCCCCCCCAGCCAUUCCCAGUCCCAUCCUGUACAAACACCAUGGGCUGUGCUGGGGUCCCCAUUUCCCCCCCAGCCAUUCCCAGUCCCAUCCUGUACAAACACCAUGGGCUGUGCUGGGGUCCCCAUUUCCCCCCCAGCCAUUCCCAGUCCCAUCCUGUACAAACACCAUGGGCUGUGCUGGGGUCCCCAUUUCCCCCCCAGCCAUUCCCAGUCCCAUCCUGUACAAACACCAUGGGCUGUGCUGGGGUCCCCAUUUCCCCCCCAGCCAUUCCCAGUCCCAUCCUGUACAAACACCAUGGGCUGUGCUGGGGUCCCCAUUUCCCCCCCAGCCAUUCCCAGUCCCAUCCUGUACAAACACCAUGGGCUGUGCUGGGGUCCCCAUUUCCCCCCCAGCCAUUCCCAGUCCCAUCCUGUACAAACACCAUGGGCUGUGCUGGGGUCCCCAUUUCCCCCCCAGCCAUUCCCAGUCCCAUCCUGUACAAACACCAUGGGCUGUGCUGGGGUCCCCAUUUCCCCCCCAGCCAUUCCCAGUCCCAUCCUGUACAAACACCAUGGGCUGUGCUGGGGUCCCCAUUUCCCCCCCAGCCAUUCCCAGUCCCAUCCUGUACAAACACCAUGGGCUGUGCUGGGGUCCCCAUUUCCCCCCCAGCCAUUCCCAGUCCCAUCCUGUACAAACACCAUGGGCUGUGCUGGGGUCCCCAUUUCCCCCCCAGCCAUUCCCAGUCCCAUCCUGUACAAACACCAUGGGCUGUGCUGGGGUCCCCAUUUCCCCCCCAGCCAUUCCCAGUCCCAUCCUGUACAAACACCAUGGGCUGUGCUGGGGUCCCCAUUUCCCCCCCAGCCAUUCCCAGUCCCAUCCUGUACAAACACCAUGGGCUGUGCUGGGGUCCCCAUUUCCCCCCCAGCCAUUCCCAGUCCCAUCCUGUACAAACACCAUGGGCUGUGCUGGGGUCCCCAUUUCCCCCCCAGCCAUUCCCAGUCCCAUCCUGUACAAACACCAUGGGCUGUGCUGGGGUCCCCAUUUCCCCCCCAGCCAUUCCCAGUCCCAUCCUGUACAAACACCAUGGGCUGUGCUGGGGUCCCCAUUUCCCCCCCAGCCAUUCCCAGUCCCAUCCUGUACAAACACCAUGGGCUGUGCUGGGGUCCCCAUUUCCCCCCCAGCCAUUCCCAGUCCCAUCCUGUACAAACACCAUGGGCUGUGCUGGGGUCCCCAUUUCCCCCCCAGCCAUUCCCAGUCCCAUCCUGUACAAACACCAUGGGCUGUGCUGGGGUCCCCAUUUCCCCCCCAGCCAUUCCCAGUCCCAUCCUGUACAAACACCAUGGGCUGUGCUGGGGUCCCCAUUUCCCCCCCAGCCAUUCCCAGUCCCAUCCUGUACAAACACCAUGGGCUGUGCUGGGGUCCCCAUUUCCCCCCCAGCCAUUCCCAGUCCCAUCCUGUACAAACACCAUGGGCUGUGCUGGGGUCCCCAUUUCGUCCUGGUUUGGGUUUGGGGUGUCCCUGUCUGGGUUUGGGGUGUCCCUCUCUGGGUUUGGGGUGUCCCUGUCUGGGUUUGGGGUGUCCCUCUCUGGGUUUGGGUGUCCCUGUUUAGGUUUGAGGUGUCCCUGUUUGGGUUUGGAGUGUCCUGGUUUGGGUUUGAGGUGUCCUGGUUUGGGUUUGGGGUGUCCCUCUCUGGGUUUGGAGUGUCCCUCUCUGGGUUUGGGUGUCCCUCUCUGGGUUUGGGGUGUCCCUGCAGCUCUGGGGGCUGUCUCUGGGUUGAUUCGGGGUGUCCCUGUCUGUUCUGGGGUACAUUUGGGGUGUCCCCGGUGUGCUGGGGGCGCCUUUGCUGACCCCGUGUCCCGCAGUGAUCCGCCUGGUGCAGGCAGACCCCGCCCGGUACCCGUUCCAGGGCCGGCCCCCCGCCUUCCUGCGGGCCCGGCUCUACAAGUACCGAUUCACCGGCCCCGGGGAGGCCAGGUCAGCGGGGGGGGCCUGGGGGCCACGGGGAGGGCCCCCCCCCCCCCCCCCCCCCCCCCCCCCCCCCCCCCCCCCCCCCCCCCCCCCCCCCC
rnacentral:lncRNA from 1 species